ACAGCCGUACCAUGCUGAAUAUACCGGUUCUCGUUAGAUCACCGAAGUUAAGCAUCAUUGGGCGCGGUCAGUACUUGGGUGGGUGACCAUCUGGGAACACUGCGUGCCGUU
rnacentral:rRNA from 1 species